GGAGACAUUGCUGGAAGUGGCAGCAGAGGAGGGUGAAGAUCUGAUAGAUAUAAAAGUUGAGGUGAAAGCAGAAGAAGAGACGUAUCUGAGGGGCGAUCAGUCCGUGAAAGAGGGUGACAUGAUGGUGCCGGUUAAA